CUGAAUGACGUGUGGUCCUGGUUGUGGUAGGGGCCAUUUCCUUCCAUCAGAUUUGGUCAGAUGUCGGACCAGCUAGGGAUUCGGUUCUACCAUGCCUUUCACCAAACAAACCUGUCGUUGUAUGUGUAUGGCAUUUAAAGCAUAUAAAUAUAAAUA
rnacentral:misc_RNA from 1 species